rnacentral:rRNA from 1 species
UGCGCAGGCGGUUUUGUAAGACAGUGGUGAAAUCCCCGGGCUCAACCUGGGAACUGCCAUUGUGACUGCAAGGCUGGAGUGCGGCAGAGGGGGAUGGAAUUCCGCGUGUAGCAGUGAAAUGCGUAGAUAUGCGGAGGAACACCGAUGGCGAAGGCAAUCCCCUGGGCCUGCACUGACGCUCAUGCACGAAAAGCGUGGGGAGCAAACA